GAUGAACGCUGGCGGCGUGCUUAACACAUGCAAGUCGAACGAAGACGUCUGAGUGCUUGCACUUGGAUGGACUGAGUGGCGGACGGGUGAGUAACGCGUGGGUAACCUGCCUUAUACAGGGGGAUAACAGUUGGAAACGACUGCUAAUACCGCAUAAGCGCACAGUAUCGCAUGAUACAGUGUGAAAAACUCCGGUGGUAUAAGAUGGACCCGCGUCUGAUUAGCUAGUUGGUGAGGUAACGGCCCACCAAGGCGACGAUCAGUAGCCGGCCUGAGAGGGUGAACGGCCACAUUGGGACUGAGACACGGCCCAAACUCCUACGGGAGGCAGCAGUGGGGAAUAUUGCACAAUGGGGGAAACCCUGAUGCAGCGACGCCGCGUGAGUGAGGAAGUAUUUCGGUAUGUAAAACUCUAUCAGCAGGGAAGAUAAUGACGGUACCUGACUAAGAAGCACCGGCUAAAUACGUGCCAGCAGCCGCGGUAA
rnacentral:rRNA from 1 species